rnacentral:rRNA from 1 species
GAUUGGAGGCUGAAACUCGCCUCCAUGAAGUCGGAAUCGCUAGUAAUCGCAAAUCAGCGAGUUGCGGUGAAUACGUUCCCGGGUCUUGUACACACCGCCCGUCAAACCAUGAAAGUGACCAACACCCGAAGUCCGAUUCGUCGGCCUAAGGUGGGGGGCAUGAUUGGGGUUAAGUCGUAACAAGGUAGCCGUAA